rnacentral:misc_RNA from 1 species
GAUGAAGAACGUAGCAAAAUGCGAUACUUGGUGUGAAUUGCAGAAUCCCGUGAACCAUCGAGUUUUUGAACGCAAGUUGCGCCCGAAGCCUUUUGGCCGAGGGCACGUCUGCCUGGGCGUCACGCAUCGCGUCGCCCCCCACAAUUCUCCGUAAAGGGAACGUGUGUUUUGGGGGCGGAUAUUGGUCUCCCGUGCUUAUGGCGUGGUUGGCCGAAAUAGGAGUCCUUUCGAUGGACGCACGAACUAGUGGUGGUCGUAAAAACCCUCGUCUUUUGUUUCGUGCUGUUGCUCGCAAGGUAAACUCUUUAAAAACCCCAAUGUGUCGUCUCUUGACGACGCUUCGACCGCGACCCCAGGUCAGGCGGGACUACCCGCUGAGUUUAAGCAUAUCAAUAAGCGGAGGA